rnacentral:rRNA from 1 species
CUUGUAGGGGGUGUAAUGGACCUCCUAGCCAUCGACGCGUACGGGUGUUGGGAGACAUAGCCCGGAGAUGGAUUCUGAGACACGAAUCCAGACCCUACGGGGUGCAGCAGGCGCGAAAACUUCACACUGCAGGAAACUGUGAUGAGGGAACUCCAAGUGCUAUCACUAUGUGGUAGCUUUUCUUGACUAUUAAUCGGUCAUGGAAUAAGGGCUGGGAAAGACCGGUGCCAGCCGCCGCGGUAAUACCGGCAGCUCAAGUGGUCGUCGCUUUUAUUGGGCCUAAAACGUCCGUAGCCUGUUUGGUAAAUCUGUGGGUAAAUCAACCAGCUUAACUGGUUGAAUUCUGCAGAGACUGCCAGACUAGGGACCGGGAGAGGUGUGGGGUACUCUAGGGGUAGGGGUAAAAUCCUGUCAUCCUUAGAGGACCACCAGUUGCGAAGGCGCCACACUGGAACGGAUCCGACGGUCAGGGACGAAGCCUAGGGGCACGAACCGGAUUAGAUACCCGGGUAGUCCUAGGUGUAAACGCUGUGAACUUGGUGUCGGGGAUCCGUAAUGGGUCCUCGGUGCCGGAGUGAAGAUGUUAAGUUCACUGCCUGGGGAGUACGGUCGCAAGGCUGA